rnacentral:rRNA from 1 species
GACGAAGGGGGCUAGCGUUGUUCGGAAUUACUGGGCGUAAAGCGCGUGUAGGCGGUUGUCCAAGUUGGAUGUGAAAGCCUUGAGCUUGACUCAAGAAAUGCAUUCAGGACUGGAUGACUAGAGGACCGGAGAGGAUAGUGGAAUUCCCAGUGUAGUGGUGAAAUACGUAGAGAUUGGGAAGAACACCAGUGGCGAAGGCGGCGUUCUGGACUGUCUCUGACACUGAAGAACGAAAGCCAGGGGAGCAAACGGG